rnacentral:rRNA from 1 species
CGGGUGAGUAACACGUGGAUAACCUACCUAUAAGACUGGGAUAACUUCGGGAAACCGGAGCUAAUACCGGAUAAUAUAUUGAACCGCAUGGUUCAAUAGUGAAAGACGGUUUUGCUGUCACUUAUAGAUGGAUCCGCGCUGCAUUAGCUAGUUGGUAAGGUAACGGCUUACCAAGGCAACGAUGCGUAGCCGACCUGAGAGGGUGAUCGGCCACACUUGAGCUGAGACACGGUCCAGACUCCUACGGGAGGCAGCAGGU